UAUGGCGACCGGCGCACGGGUGAGUAACACGUAUCCAACCUGCCGAUGACUCGGGGAUAGCCUUUCGAAAGAAAGGUUAAUACCCGAUGGCAUAGUUCUUCCGCAUGGUAGAACUAUUAAAGAAUUUCGGUCAUCGAUGGGGAUGCGUUCCAUUAGGUUGUUGGCGGGGUAACGGCCCACCAAGCCUUCGAUGGAUAGGGGUUCUGAGAGGAAGGUCCCCCACAUUGGAACUGAGACACGGUCCAA
rnacentral:rRNA from 1 species